AGUCGAACGGAAAGGCCCUGCUUGCAGGGUACUCGAGUGGCGAACGGGUGAGUAACACGUGGGUGAUCUGCCCUGCACUUCGGGAUAAGCUUAGGAAACUGGGUCUAAUACCGGAUAGGAGCCAUUUUUAGUGUGAUGGUUGGAAAGUUUUUUCGGUGUAGGAUGAGCUCGCGGCCUAUCAGCUUGUUGGUGGGGUAAUGGCCUACCAAGGCGGCGACGGGUAGCCGGCCUGAGAGGGUGGACGGCCACAUUGGGACUGAGAUACGGCCCAGACUCCUACGGGAGGCAGCAGUGGGGAAUAUUGCACAAUGGGCGCAAGCCUGAUGCAGCGACGCCGCGUGGGGGAUGACGGCCUUCGGGUUGUAAACUCCUUUCGCUAGGGACGAAGCUUUUUGUGACGGUACCUAGAUAAGAAGCACCGGCUAACUACGUGCCAGCAGCCGCGGUAAUACGUAGGGUGCGAGCGUUGUCCGGAAUUACUGGGCGUAAAGGGCUCGUAGGUGGUUUGUCGCGUCGUCUGUGAAAUUCCGGGGCUUAACUCCGGGCGUGCAGGCGAUACGGGCAUAACUUGAGUACUGUAGGGGUAACUGGAAUUCCUGGUGUAGCGGUGAAAUGCGCAGAUAUCAGGAGGAACACCGAUGGCGAAGGCAGGUUACUGGGCAGUUACUGACGCUGAGGAGCGAAAGCA
rnacentral:rRNA from 1 species